AUUGAACGCUGGCGGCAGGCUUAACACAUGCAAGUCGAGCGAGCGGCGGACGGGUGAGCAAUGUCUGGGCAACUGCCUGAUGGAGGGGGAUAACUACUGGAAACGGUAGCUAAUACCGCCUACCUUCAGCUGUGCCCAGAUGGGAUUAGCUAGUGGGUGGGGUAAUGGCCCACCUAGGCGACGAUCCCUAGCUGGUCUGAGAGGAUGACCAGCCACACUGGAACUGAGACACGGUCCAGACGCCUACGGGAGGCAGCAGUGGGGAAUAUUGCACAAUGGGCGCAAGCCUGAUGCAGCCAUGCCGCGUGUGUGAAGAAGGCCUUCGGGUUGUAAAGCACUUUCAGCGAGGAGGCGUUACUCGCAGAAGAAGCACCGGCUAACUCCGUGCCAGCAGCCGCGGUAAUUC
rnacentral:rRNA from 1 species